GCCAAAGUGGUGUAGUGGUUUGAGCAUUGGACUAUGACUCUGGAAUCCAGGGUUCGAAUGCCAGCUCGGCCA